UCACAGUUUGCACUGGCAGUCUUGCUAGAGUUCCCGGCAUUACCCGCUGGCAACUAAGGACAGGGGUUGCGCUCGUUGCGCCACUUAAGGAAACACCUCACGGCACGAGCUGACGACAGCCAUGCACCACCUGUGCGGGCUCCGAGGAGCACCGUAUUUCUACGGUUUCACCCCGCAUGUCAAGCCCAGGUAAGGUUCUUAGCGUUGCGUCGAAUUGAACCACAUGCUCCACCGCUUGUGCGGGCCCCCGUCAAUUCCUUUGAGUUUCAGCCUUGCGACUGUACUCCCCAGGCGGCAUAUUUAACGCGUUAGCUCCGGCACGGACAGAAUGAACUGCCCACACCAAAUAUGCAUCGUUUAGGGCGUGGACUAC
rnacentral:misc_RNA from 1 species